UACGUAGGUCUUGUGGAAGCUCAGGC
rnacentral:piRNA from 1 species